rnacentral:rRNA from 1 species
CCUACGGGUGGCAGCAGUGGGGGAUAUUGCACAAUGGGGAAACCCCGAUGCAGCGACGCCGCGUGGGCGAAGAAGUAUUUUGGGAUGUAAAGCCCUAUCAGCAGGGAAGAAGAAAUGACGGUACCUGAGUAAGAAGCACCGGCUAAAGACGUGCCAGCAGCCGUGGCAAUACGUAUGGUGCAAGCGUUAUCCGGAGUUACUGGGCGUAAAGGGAGCGCAGGCGGCACGGCAAGCCUGAUGUGAAAGCCCGCGGCCCAACCGCGGGACUGCAGUGGGAACUACCGGGCUGGAGUGCCGGAGAGGUAGGCGGAAUUCGUGGUGUAGCGGUGAAAUGCGUAGAUAUUAGGAGGAACACCAGUGGCGAAGGCGGCCUACUGGACGGUGACUGACGCUGAGGCUCGAAAGCGUGGGGAGCAAACAGGAUUAGAUACCCGGGUAGUC